rfam:Schistosoma haematobium scaffold1073_6, whole genome shotgun sequence.
AGCCUUCUGAAUCCGUGCUGAGAUUUCGUCAGACACCAGCCAGUUAAAACUGAUGAGACUCCCAAGAUAAGUGUAGUG